AUUCCUACGGGAGGCAGCAGUGGGGGAUAUUGCACAAUGGGGGAAACCCUGAUGCAGCGACGCCGCGUGAGCGAAGAAGUAUUUCGGUAUGUAAAGCUCUCUCAGCAGGGAAGAAAAUGACGGUACCUGACUAAGAAGCUCCGGCUAAAUACGCGCCAGCAGCCGCGGUAAUACGUAUGGAGCAAGCGUUAUCCGGAUUUACUGGGUGUAAAGGGAACGUAGGCGGUAAGGCAAGUCUGAUGUG
rnacentral:rRNA from 1 species